rnacentral:misc_RNA from 1 species
UCCUGGUUAACCCAGGCAGUCUCAUUAAAGUUCCCACCUUCACGUGUUGGCAACUAAUGAUAAGGGUUGCGCUCGUUGCGGGACUUAACCCAACACCUCACGGCACGAGCUGACGACAGCCAUGCAGCACCUGUGUAGCAGUCCCGAAGGAACGGCUCAUCUCUGAACCUGUCUACUACAUGUCAAAUCUGGGUAAGGUUUUUCGCGUUGCAUCGAAUUAAACCACAUGCUCCACUGCUUGUGCGGGUCCCCGUCAAUUCUUUUGAGUUUCAGCCUUGCGACUGUACUCCCCAGGCGGUAUACUUAACGCGUUAGCUCCGGCACAACCGGGGUUGAGUCCAGUUACACCAAGUAUACAUCGUUUACAGCAAGGACUAC